UACAGAGGUCUCAAGCGUUGUUCGGAUUCAUUGGGCGUAAAGGGUGCGUAGGCGGCGCGGUAAGUCGGGUGUGAAAUCUCGGAGCUUAACUCCGAAACUGCAUUCGAUACUGCCGUGCUUGAGGACUGGAGAGGAGACUGGAAUUUACGGUGUAGCGGUGAAAUGCGUAGAUAUCGUAAGGAAGACCAGUGGCGAAGGCGGCUCUCUAGUACGGUACUGACGCUGAGGCGCGAAAGCGUGGGGAGCAAACAGG
rnacentral:rRNA from 1 species